GAGUUUGAUCCUGGCUCAGAACGAACGCUGGCGGCAGGCUUAACACAUGCAAAUCGAGCGCCCCGCAAGGGGAGCGGCAGACGGGUGAGUAACGCGUGGGAAUCUACCCAUCUCUUCGGAAUAACUCAGGGAAACUUGUGCUAAUACCGUAUACGCCCUUCGGGGGAAAGAUUUAUCGGAGAUGGAUGAGCCCGCGUUGGAUUAGCUAGUUGGUGGGGUAAAGGCCUACCAAGGCGACGAUCCAUAGCUGGUCUGAGAGGAUGACCAGCCACACUGGGACUGAGACACGGCCCAGACUCCUACGGGAGGCAGCAGUGGGGAAUAUUGGACAAUGGGCGCAAGCCUGAUCCAGCCAUGCCGCGUGAGUGAUGAAGGCCCUAGGGUUGUAAAGCUCUUUCACCGGUGAAGAUAAUGACGGUAACCGGAGAA
rnacentral:rRNA from 1 species